GACUCAGAAUGCAUAGGCAUCAGGCUCAGAAUGACUCAUCAAGGCCUUCCCUAAUUGAGGUUCACAGGUGAUGUGACUGGACCUACCCAGGUGGGAGAAGAUAAGUAGAAGAUGCCCAGAGGUGGUGGGUCCUCCAGGUGUUGUGAAGGCCCAGGAGGAGCAGCAGAGAUCUGAGCCUGUAGAUCUGAAGAGCUCCCAAAGAACUUUGUCCAUAAUAAACCUUCUUACAUACUGAAGGAAAAUGCGGAUGUUUUCCUGUGGUACCUCCCAGUAAGAGCCCAGUGUAUCCUCUGGGUAAAUGGCCAAGUCAGCCUGAGAUCUGAGCUAAAAAAGCACAGGGUUAGCUACCUCGGGCCAUUGCACCAUAACCGUGCAGCGUGCUUUGCUCAGUUCACAACCACUACUAAACCUUGCAGGAAGAGCUCAGAGGAAAGCUCUGCAGCACGGAUGGAUCCUGCAGCACCACCUACGGCGGGUUGGCUGGGU
rnacentral:lncRNA from 1 species